GAGUGUAAAGGCAAAAGAGAGCUUGAUUGCAAGACAUACAGGUCGAGCAAGGAUGAAAAUCGGACUUAGGGAUCCGGUGGUUCUGCGUGGAAGGGCCAUCGCUCAACGGAUAAAAGCUACCCUGGGGAUAACAGGCUUAUCUCCCCCAAGAGUCCCCAUCGACGGGGAGGUUUGGCACCUCGAUGUCGGCUCAUCACAUCCUGGGGCUGUAGUAGGUCCCAAGGGUUGGGCUG
rnacentral:rRNA from 1 species